AGAGUUUGAUCAUGGCUCAGAUUGAACGCUGGCGGCAUGCCUAACACAUGCAAGUCGAACGGGAGGCUUCGGCCUCUAGUGGCGGACGGGUGAGGAACGCGUAGGAAUCGACCCACGAGUGGGGGACAACCUGGGGAAACUCAGGCUAAUACCGCAUGAGCUCGGGAGAGGAAAGCGGGGGAUCUUCGGACCUCGCGCUGGUGGACGAGCCUACGUCCGAUUAGCUGGUUGGUGGGGUAACGGCUCACCAAGGCGACGAUCGGUAGCGGGUCUGAGAGGACGACCCGCCACACUGGGACUGAGACACGGUCCAGACUCCUACGGGAGGCAGCAGUGGGGAAUAUUGGACAAUGGGGGCAACCCUGAUCCAGCCAUGCCGCGUGUGUGAAGAAGGCCUUCGGGUUGUAAAGCACUUUAAGCGAGGAGGAAGGUCUUUGAACUAAUAUUUCAAAGAAUUGACGUUACUCGCAGAAUAAGCACCGGCUAACUCUGUGCCAGCCGCCGCGGUAA
rnacentral:rRNA from 1 species